GGGUGGCAGAGAAGAACCAGGAAGAGAAGAGGAGCAAGUUAAAGAGUUUCUGCGCAUUUGGUAGGACGCAUAGUAAACCAAGGCACCACCUUCCUGAGUAAUAACACUCAGAGUUGGAAACGCCUCCAUCCUGCCUUUCCCUACCAUGGGCUUCUUGCUCCUCUGCUGUGUGGCCUUUUGUCUCUUGGGAACAGGUUCCAUGGAUGCUGGCAUUACCCAGACCCCCCGGAAUGGGAUUAUAAAGAAAGGAAAGAACAUUUCACUGGAGUGUUCUCAGAUUAAGAGUCAUAACUAUAUGUACUGGUAUCGACAAGAUCCGGGAAUGGGGCUACGGCUGAUCUCCUACUCCUUUGGUGUCAAUUAUAUUAAUGAAGGAGAGGUCUCCAAUGGGUACAGUGCUUCUCGAACGGACCUGGAGAAAUUCUCCCUGUCUGUAGGGACUGCCAUUCCCAACCAGACAGCUCUCUACUUCUGUGCCAGCAGCGAUUCACACAGUGCUUAUUGGUCACCUGCUCCCCAUACAGAAAGCAGGCACAUUUGCUCGGACCACACAGAAGGCUUCCUCCAUGUGGGACAUGGGGACUUAGAGGGGUCUGAGUAGUUCUACACCGUGUGAGCCUCAAUCUGAGCUGUGGCCAUGUUGGGUCAAUGUCCCCAGGCCAUACGGUGAUGGAAACCACAGGCUGGACUGAACCUAUCUCCCCUGCCGACUGACCCUCCUUCUCUAUUCUAGUGGGGCUAGCUCAGUAGUGUCCUUCUAGGAGAAUGAACCUGACAUUUGCCAAGACCACCAUGGUUUUCAGUAAGAGCAUUUCUUAUGAGCUCCAACAGGAUGUGGCUUGUCAUCGUUCUUUUGCCUCUUCUUUGCCCACUUUGCAACAUGUUCCACUCCAUUCUGUUCCUUCUGAUGGUCCCUUUAUCUUGCUGUCCCCUUCUCAGUCCUGGUUCCUCCAAGAGCUGGGCACUGUUCAACUCUGUAUUUGGGUGCUUUUAUACCAGGCACAAACUGACUACCUUGUUUUCUAAAACUUCACGCUAAGUAAAUUUAAUUACUAUUUAAAUCUGACUCAGAAAGUGAAGUGUGUCAAGUACUAGAGACUGUGAUCUAUAAAAGAUAUCUUUCAUCUACUGCCCCACACUCGGAUCUCUGCUGAGAAUAAUCUUAACCUGUGGGAGCAGAGAGACUAUGUCAUUAUCUAGAUGUACUGGAUUCCAAAAAAAAUUGCCUGCUCCCCAGCAUGGAGCCAAAGCUCAGAGCUUGGAGAUUCCUUUUCUCUCAAGGUAUUGGAAUAAGCCCCCUGCUCCCCUGCAGAGGGGACCCUCCUGGGAGCCAGUGAACUCCAGGCACAAAAAUACUCAAUCAAGGGCUGCUAUAGCCUGAUGUAAAACCUGCCUAAGAAAUAAAUUGAAGACUUUCUGAUGUGCUUUGUCUUCAUACCCCAUGAGCCUCAAUUAUUUCAACAAAAGAAUCCCCGACUCGGUGACAGUUCACCCAGAGAAUGCAACUUAUUUCAUUUUCUACCUGUUCUGAUCUGAAAAGAAUGUCACGCUUUUUUUUUCAAUCUCCUGUAUGAGUUCUAUCUCAUCUGCUUUCCCUUUAAAAAGUCAGUUUUCGAAAUUAAAAAAAAAAUUAAAAGUCAGUUUUCUAGAA